rnacentral:misc_RNA from 1 species
AAUUCUCAACCUCACCUGGUUUCUAACUUGUGUGAUGGCUUGGAUUUGGGAGUUUUGCAGGCUGCAGUUUACUGCGGUUCUGCUCUCCUUAAAUGUAUUAGCAGGUCUUUUACCUCUAUCCCAACAGUGUGAUAAUCUAUCUACGCUGCUGGUUUGGAGACCCUUUAUUGGGGGACUAGCUUCUAACCGUCUGCAAGGACAAAAUGACAAA